rnacentral:rRNA from 1 species
UACGUAGGGCCCGAGCGUUAUCCGGUAUUAUUGGGCGUAAAGAGUACGUAGGCGGUUAUGUAAGACAAUGGUUAAAGCUCCGGGCUCAACCCGGAAAUCGCCGUUGUGACUGCGUGGCUAGUCGGUAGCAGGGGCAAGCGGAAUUCUCGGUGUAGGAGUGAAAUCCGUUGAGAUCGGGAAGAACACCAAUGGCGAAGGCAGCUUGCUAGGCUAUUUGAGACGCUGAGGUACGAAAGCGUGGGGAGCGAACGGG